rnacentral:rRNA from 1 species
UACAGAGGGUGCGAGCGUUAAUCGGAAUAAUUGGGCGUAAAGGGCGCGUAGGCGGAUUGUCAAGUGGUAUGUGAAAGACCUGGGCUUAACCUGGGGAGGUCAUAUCAGACUGAUAGUCUAGAGUGAGGUAGAGGGAGGCGGAAUUUCUGGUGUAGCGGUGAAAUGCGUAGAUAUCAGAAAGAACAUCGAUGGCGAAGGCAGCCUCCUGGGCCUUAACUGACGCUGAGGCGCGAAA